rnacentral:rRNA from 1 species
UACGUAGGAUGCGAGCGUUAUCCGGAUUUAUUGGGUUUAAAGGGUGCGUAGGCGGAUCGUUAAGUCAGUGGUCAAAUUGAGGGGCUCAACCCCUUCCCGCCAUUGAAACUGGCGAUCUUGAGUGGAAGAGAAGUAUGCGGAAUGCGUGGUGUAGCGGUGAAAUGCAUAGAUAUCACGCAGAACCCCGAUUGCGAAGGCAGCAUGCCGGCUUCCGACUGACGCUGAAGCACGAAAGCGUGGGGAUCGAACAGG